rnacentral:misc_RNA from 1 species
CUGGGUGGCUUCGGCCUAAACCCCCCAACCAUUGUGAACGAUACCAGUUGCUUAGCUGGUGGCGGCGGACAGCUGCCCUGGCGGCAACGAGACUCUUCUAAUGUCAUCUCUGAGUUACUUUUAAAUAAGUCA